UUGGGAUUAUUCUUUGGUCUACUAUGCUGUUUUCCUCUGAUCUUGGGUUUGUCUGGCUUUUAGUGGGGAUUUUGUUCAUUGUUCCCCUGACAUCACCUGUUCUUGGGUUUAGCUGACACAAAUGGCAUUAACUGGGCCUCUGUUCUCUAUUUCUCAGACCAGGGUGAUUUCAGCUUUUUAUUCUCUGGUUAGGGAGGUGGAGUAUAAACCAUUUGCUCUUAAGUGUCCUUGGUUAGGGGAUAUAAAGUCUUGUGAUUCACCAGCUUGCUGUAACUUGUUCAGAUUGUUUGGCCUAGUUUAAUUCUCUUUUCUCAGUUUCCCCAUUUCACUUGUCCAGGUUUUUCCCUAAUGUCUUCCUAUUCUGUCACAUUCUCAGUAGAAUGUCUAUGAAUCUUAGGAGGAAGUUAAUCGUGGUUAGAGUUGAAUAGGGUGUGCCUAUUCCAGAUCACAUUAUAUCUUUCUCCUCGGCGUUGUUACUCAGAAAUGCAAGUGAUUGGUAGCUUUCAUUGUACUGAAAAUAAUUUGUAUAGAUUAGAGUUGAAAUUUUUAUUGAUAAGCCAUUAUAUUUUUAUUCCUGAUUCAUAUUUUGCCUCACAUAUAAAGUAAUUUUAAGGGCAAUUAAAAUGGAAGUGGAAUAAAAACAAUGUUUUAAAAAGUACAUAUUCAUUAGGGUCCCAGGAUUGUCAACAUAAUUGAGAAUGUAUAGUUUCACAUUGAGCUUUCUAACAGCUAGGAUGAAAGCUUUCUCCUCAUGCUAGACAAAAACCCAUGGACCAUUUAGUAGUAAGCAAUCAGAGUUCAUCUGAAGCCUAUCUCUUUUGAUUUAGAGUCCAUUGUUUUUGAAACCCUUUUGGAGCAGGUGUGAUUGAUGUUGACAUCUGGGGUCCUGAUAGCUUUGGCAGAGGAGAGUCAAGCAAGUGUGUAUAACCUGCAGAAAACCUUCACCUCUGUUGAAAAGCUCUCA